CGGUGAGAUAUUUUGGCUACCUUGCACCCCAAGCUUGCAAGCUCCUGUUAUGCUGUUCUUCAUUGAGCAGUUUCACUUAACGUGUGCCCCACCAUGAAUGGCAACCGUGCAGAUUUUCCUUGGCGAGCGGCUUUUGCCUUCGUUGAAGGAUGUAUUGAUUAAGAAAGCUUAGAGAUAUAAGUGCAUGUUUUUUUUUUGGUAUAUUAAGUGAACAUUCUUUGUUUGGAU
rnacentral:lncRNA from 1 species